rnacentral:rRNA from 1 species
GACGAACCGUGCGAACGUUAUUCGGAAUCACUGGGCUUAAAGCGCGUGUAGGCGGGUGGGAACGUCGGCCGCUGAAAUCCCCCGGCUCAACCGGGGAAGGGGCGCCGAAACGGCCCGCCUGGAGGGACGUAGGGGGAGCUGGAACUUCCGGUGGAGCGGUGAAAUGCGUUGAGAUCGGAAGGAACGCCCGUGGCGAAAGCGAGCUCCUGGGCGUUUUUCUGACGCUGAGACGCGAAAGCCAGGGGAGCGAACGGG